GGUUAAGUGAAUAAGGGCGCACGGUGGAUGCCUUGGUACUAGGAGCCGAUGAAGGACGGAACUAACACCGAUAUGCUCUGGAGAGCUGUAAGUAAGCUUUGACCCAGAGAUUUCCGAAUGGGGGAACCCAGCAUUCUUAAUCGAAUGUUACUCUCAAGCCAAUACAUAGCUUGAAGAGAGGUAGACGCAGGGAACUGAAACAUCUCAUUACCUGCAGGAAGAGAAAGAAAAAUCGAUUCCCUGAGUAGCGGCGAGCGAAACGGGAGAAGCCCAAACCAAAAAGCUUGCUUUUUGGGGUUGUAGGACUGGAACGUGAGACUGACAACAUGUAGCAGAAGCCACCUGGGAAGGUGCGUCAAAGAAGGUGAAAACCCUGUAUGCGAAACAUGUCGCAGCUCUACCAGUAUCCUGAGUACGGCGGGACACGAGAAAUCCCGUCGGAAUCCGCCAGGACCAUCUGGCAAGGCUAAAUACUACCUAGUGACCGAUAGUGAACCAGUACCGUGAGGGAAAGGUGAAAAGAACCCCGGGAGGGGAGUGAAAGAGUACCUGAAACCGUGUGCUUACAAGUAGUCAGAGCCCGUUAAUGGGUGAUGGCGUGCCUUUUGUAGAAUGAACCGGCGAGUUACGUUUCCAUGCGAGGUUAAGACGAAGAGUCGGAGCCGUAGCGAAAGCGAGUCUGAAUAGGGCGAGUGAGUAUGGGGACGUAGACCCGAAACCAAGUGACCUACCCAUGUCCAGGUUGAAGGUGCGGUAAAACGCACUGGAGGACCGAACCCACGCACGUUGAAAAGUGCGGGGAUGAGGUGUGGGUAGCGGAGAAAUUCCAAUCGAACUUGGAGAUAGCUGGUUCUCUCCGAAAUAGCUUUAGGGCUAGCCUCGGAAUGAAGAAUCAUGGAGGUAGAGCACUGUUUGGACUAGGGGCCCAUCUCGGGUUACCGAAUUCAGAUAAACUCCGAAUGCCAUUGAUUUAUAUCCGGGAGUCAGACUGCGAGUGAUAAGAUCCGUAGUCGAAAGGGAAACAGCCCAGACCACCAGCUAAGGUCCCCAAAUAUCUGUUAAGUGGAAAAGGAUGUGGAGUUGCACAGACAACUAGGAUGUUGGCUUAGAAGCAGCCACCAUUUAAAGAGUGCGUAAUAGCUCACUAGUCGAGUGACUCUGCGCCGAAAAUGUACCGGGGCUAAACAGAUUACCGAAGCUGUGGAUUGGAACCUGAUGGUUCCAGUGGUAGGAGAGCGUUCUAAGGGCGAAGAAGCAUGACCGUAAGGACAUGUGGAGCGCUUAGAAGUGAGAAUGCCGGUAUGAGUAGCGAAAGACGGGUGAGAAUCCCGUCCACCGAAUAACUAAGGUUUCCUGGGGAAGGCUCGUCCUCCCAGGGUUAGUCGGGACCUAAGCCGAGGCCGAUAGGCGUAGGCGAUGGACAACAGGUUGAUAUUCCUGUACUUCUAUGAAUUGUUUGACCAAUGGAGGGACGCAGGAGGCUAAGAAAAGCACGCGACUGGAAGUGCGUGUCCAAGCAGUGAGUUGGUUGAUGAGUCAAAUGCUUAUC
rnacentral:rRNA from 1 species